UACGGAGGAUGCGAGCGUUAUCCGGAUUUAUUGGGUUUAAAGGGUGCGUAGGCGGACGCUUAAGUCAGCGGUAAAAUUGCGGGGCUCAACCUCGUCGAGCCGUUGAAACUGGGUGCCUUGAGUGGGCGAGUAGUACGCGGAAUGCGUGGUGUAGCGGUGAAAUGCAUAGAUAUCACGCAGAACUCCGAUUGCGAAGGCAGCGUACCGGCGCCCAACUGACGCUGAAGCACGAAGGCGUGGGUAUCGAACAGG
rnacentral:rRNA from 1 species